GAUGAAGAACGUAGCGAAAUGCGAUAAGUAAUGUGAAUUGCAGAAUUCAGUGAAUCAUCGAAUCUUUGAACGCACAUUGCGCCCGCCAGUAUUCUGGCGAGCAUGCCUGUUCGAGCGUCAUUUCAACCAUCAAGCCCCAGGCUUGUGUUGGGGACCUGCGGCUGCCGCAGGCCCUGAAAACCAGUGGCGGGCUCGCUGUCACACCGGGCGUAGUAGAUUUUAUCUCGCUCAGGGCGUGCUGCGGGUUCCGGCCGUUAAAAAGCCUUUUUUACCCAAGGUUGACCUCGGAUCAGGUAGGAAGACCCGCUGAACUUAAGCAUAUCAAUAAGCGGAGGA
rnacentral:misc_RNA from 1 species